UAGUGUAAUGUUUAUCUAGUAAUGAGGAAAACAUAUUUAAUCCAUUAUUAGUUGCUAAUUUUUUUGUAAGUGUAUUGAUGUUGCUUAUGACUUUGUAAAUUAAUUGAUAUUGUUAAGACCGCGUGAAGUGCGAAUAAAUACUGUUAUCUUUUAUGGAUUCAAAAAGGUACUAAAAUGUGCGAAAAAGACCAACGGGAGACACGUAGGUAUGACUCACCUUUGAUUCCCCUAUAUCCUCCCUUUCAUUUUCCGUAUCUACUUUUUCUCCACCAUUAGACUUGCUGUUUGCUAGAUUUUCCCAUCAUGUUUGAGUCUUUUUCUCUUCUUCCCCUAACACAAAUCAAUUUAUUCAAAGAGAGGAAAUAGGCAUGUUCAAAAAUUACACUAUAUAAAUUAUUUAUUUAUAAUACAAUUAAAUUCAUUAUGUAGUUUAUAGACAAGCGAAUAAAUUUGAUCCGAAAAUGAUAAAUAAAUAUGACUAAAUUUAAGAUUUAGCAGUUAAAAUUAAAGAAGAUGACAAGCCUGGCUCCAAGCGCAAUGUCUCUGAAGGCAAAAGUGAAAGCAAUGAUAAAGUGCAAAUAAUUGUUUAAUUGUGAGAAAAAGUAAAAUUUUGCUUAUGUCC
rnacentral:lncRNA from 1 species